AGCGAACGCUGGCGGCAGGCCUAACACAUGCAAGUCGAACGAAGUCUUCGGACUUAGUGGCGGACGGGUGAGUAACACGUGGGAACGUGCCUUUAGGUUCCGAAUAACUCAGGGAAACUUGUGCUAAUACCGAAUGUGCCCUUCGGGGGAAAGAUUUAUCGCCUUUAGAGCGGCCCGCGUCUGAUUAGCUAGUUGGUGAGGUAAAGGCUCACCAAGGCUACGAUCAGUAGCUGGGCUGAGAGGAUGACCAGCCACAUUGGGACUGAGACACGGCCCAAACUCCUACGGGAGGCAGCAGUGGGGAAUCUUGCGCAAUGGGCGAAAGCCUGACGCCGCCAUGCCGCGUGGAUGAUGAAGGUCUUAGGAUUGUAAAAUCCUUUCACCGGUGAAGAUAAUGACUGUAGCCGGAGAAGAAGCCCCGGCUAACUUCGUGCCAGCCGCCGCUGUAACAC
rnacentral:rRNA from 1 species